CCUACGGGAGGCAGCAGUGAGGAAUAUUGGUCAAUGGACGAGAGUCUGAACCAGCCAAGUAGCGUGAAGGAUGACUGCCCUAUGGGUUGUAAACUUCUUUUAUAUGGGAAUAAAAUGUUCCACGUGUGGGAUUUUGUAUGUACCAUAUGAAUAAGGAUCGGCUAACUCCGUGCCAGCAGCCGCGGUAAUACGGAGGAUCCGAGCGUGAUCCGGAUUUAUUGGGUUUAAAGGGAGCGUAGGUGGAGUGUUAAGUCAGUUGUGAAAGUUUGCGGCUCAACCGUAAAAUUGCAGUUGAAACUGGCAGUCUUGAGUACAGUAGAGGUGGGCGGAAUUCGUGGUGUAGCGGUGAAAUGCUUAGAUAUCACGAAGAACUCCGAUUGCGAAGGCAGUUCACUGGACUGCAACUGACACUGAGGCUCGAAAGUGUGGGUAUCAAACAGGAUUAGAUACCCGGGUAGUC
rnacentral:rRNA from 1 species